rnacentral:rRNA from 1 species
UACGUAGGUGGCAAGCGUUGUCCGGAUUUACUGGGCGUAAAGAGCGCGCAGGCGGUCGUUCAAGUCGCGUGUGAAAGCCCCCGGCUCAACUGGGGAGGGUCACGCGAUACUGAUCACUCGAAGGCAGGAGAGGGUAGUGGAAUUCCCGGUGUAGUGGUGGAAAAUGCGUAGAUAUCGGGAGGAACACCAGUGGCGAAGGCGACUACCUGGCCUGUUCUUGACGCUGAGGCGCGAAAGCUAGGGAGCAAACGGG